CUGUUCGAGCGUCAUUAUAACCACUCAAGCCUGGCUUGGUAUUGGAGUUCGCUAUCUGCGGCUCCUAAAAUCAGUGGCGGUGCCUGUAGGCUCUACGCGUAGUAAUACUUCUCGCUAUAGGGUCCUGCGGGUUACUUGCCAACAACCCCCAAUUUUUUAAGGUUGACCUCGGAUCAGGUAGGGAUACCCGCUGAACUUAA
rnacentral:misc_RNA from 1 species